ACUUUUUUUUUAGAAAGGUACAGAAACAAGACACAAUAAGUAAUAAUAAUAUAAAACAAUUGAUUAAUAAUAUGAAUAAGUAGGGUUACAUAAAGCCUAUAGCCACGUGGUGAACGACUAAGCAAACGUUCGUACUAAAUCACAAGUAAAAAAAUACCAAAAUAUCAUGCGAUGCUGCUUUAUUAUUGUAAUUGUUUAAUUGUUAAAUUAAAAACGAAAGAAUAAUAUGCACAAUACUUACCAGAUUAAUAUUUAGUACUUUUUUCCCCGAUUCAGACCCAGUACGGGUUAAAUGGUCGACACUGGGAUCCGCACAGAGAAAUGGGCAGGACACGUUUACUCGGAGAAAAUACACAGUUCACUGCUAACUCGAUCGGUCUUCAACAUUACAAAUCAAUUUUCAUCUAUUUCGUUUAAACCUUUACAGUUUAUUAAAAUUACAACAACAAAUCAUGUCAGAAAGGUCGCAAUACACAGCAUCGUUAUUUCCGGAUUAAUCAUCAAAGAGUAGCAUAAGAAAACAAACUUCACUUCAGUUUCUAUUGUUAAAGAAUAAGAACAAUGAUGUCAGAAAACUGUAUUAGAUGUAUUGUAUUUGCAGAGGUUAACAAUCAUCAUUAGAAGAUAAAACCAAAUGUAAUGAAUAAAUCAUUUAUUUGAUACAACAUUUGUUGAAAGGAAUUGUUCACAUUGGGACUGGCCUUGUGUAAAAUUGGUAUUGGAAUGAUUUAAAAUAAAUAUCAUUGUUUUAACCACUAUUUCAUGUACAUGUCAAUAUAUAUAUUUCUAUGUUACAAUUUCCAAUAAACAUUACAUUAAAUA